rnacentral:rRNA from 1 species
AUGGAGGGGCUCGACGUCGACGACAUCUUCCACCACUACCGGCUGAGCCCUACGGAAGUGGACGCCGUCACCUACUACCUGCCACGCCUCCUCUCCGGCGAGACGCUGCAUGCCGUCGACAAGCUCAUCCACCGCGUCGAAAUCUCCGGCUGCGAGCCCAAGGAUCUGGCCGCCCGGUACGCGCCCGUGCCGCAGGCCGUGAGCAGCGGCGACCGGUUCUUCUUUACCACGUGCAAGAGCAAGAACGGGAGCAAGCUCCAGAGCGUGCGCGGCGCCGGCGGCGGCACAUGGACCAUACAGAAGACCACGGAGAUUUGCCACGCGGGAGUCAAGGUCGGCGAGGUCAAGAACCUGUCCUUCAAGAAGAAGGGCAAGUCCACGGGCUGGGUCAUGGAGGAAUACCGGUGCCUGCUGCCGGAGGCCACCGUCUCCGACGGGGUGAAGGUGUUCUGCAAGAUGCACUUGACUCAGCAUGCUCCUGACGCGGCCCGCCAGGAAUCGGAAGCAUACAAGCUUCAGCAACAGCAACCAGAGGCCGUGACCCCGAGCACGCACGCGCAGAAGAGGCCAGCGCCGGCUGCCGCCGCCGAUCCUCAUCCUCCGCGCCCCAAGAAGAGGAUGCGCGGUGCUGUCCCCGUCCCGGCACCUGCCACACCGUCGUUCAUGAUGUAUGAUGAGGCAGCCAGAGCAAUGCAUGGCCCGCUGGCUCACACCAACUUCCCUGUUCAGUAUGCACAAGCAUCAUGCGAGUCCACUACAACAUCCAGCCGCUCCGACGUUGCUCAAGCUCCUGAGAUUUCCUCCCAGUCAGAUGUGCUGGAGUCCACCCAAUCACAAGAGGCUGGCUCAAGCAUUGCAAGGAGCACAACUGAAAAGGAUGUCUUUGAGCCAUUGGGGCCUAUUUCCGAUUUGCCGGAUUGGGAGGAAUAUGGUUUUGAUCUUGAAGAACUAAUGAGAAUGAUGGAAGACGAUCCAAUUGAAGUUGAGCCAAUCACUGGAGCCAACUCUCGCGUGGAGAUGGGCCAACAGGAACCUCUGUACCUGGAUGCCUUGGACCAAGGCGUGCUGCAGUCCGAUUACCCUGCCUUCCAUGAUGCUGACAAGGAGAAGAGGUACAAUGCCGCGUCGGAUCUUGACGCUCCAUCGCUUCAGGGACAGGACCACUUGUUCAAACCGCGGCCGUGCUCCUUCGAUCCAUUUGAAGAAGCGUGGAAGGCCGAAGAGGCGCUCGAGAAGGAGAAGAGGUGCAAUGCCGCGGCCAAUCUUCAUGCUGGAGGGCAUAGCAACUUCUUCUCGCCUGCAAGCGUCUACUAA